GGCCCGAUGGUGGAAUUGGUAGACACGCAGCACUUAAAAUGCUGUGCCUUAACAGCGUGUGGGUUCGAGUCCCACUCGGGCCA
rnacentral:tRNA from 2 species